UCCCUUGUGGCUCAGUGGUUGAGCGUCUGCCUUGGGCUCAGGUCAUGAUCCUGGGGUCCUGGGAUCGAGUCCCACAUGGGAU
rnacentral:tRNA from 1 species